ACUCCUACGGGAGGCAGCAGUGAGGAAUCUUCCACAAUGGACGAAAGUCUGAUGGAGCGACACCGCGUGAAGGAUGAAGGCCUAACGGUUGUAAACUUCUUUUCUGAAGGAGCAUAAUGAGAGUACUUCAGGAAUAAGGGACGGCUAAAUACGUGCCAGCAGCCGCGGUAAUACGUAUGUCUCGAGCGUUACCCGGAAUCACUGGGUGUAAAGGGGUUCGUAGGCGGUUUAAUAAGUUGGAUAUGAAAGACCGGAGCUCAACUUCGUGUUUGUGUUCAAAACUGUUAAACUAGAAUCAGGGAGAGGUAAGUAGAAUUCUAAGUGUAGGGGUGCAAUCCGUAGAUACUUAGAGGAAUACCAAAGCGAAGGCAACUUACUGGAACUGUAUUGACGCUGAGGAACGAAAGCGUGGGUAGCGAAAAGGAUUAGAUACCCUGGUAGCACAGAG
rnacentral:rRNA from 1 species